GUGCUUCCCUGGCAGGGGAGAUGGACUAGAGUCCUGAAGGUGGUCUUCCAGGGUGAGGCUUAUUCAUUGCACACCAGAUGUGUUGACCUCUGCGAUUUCCCCAAAUGUGGGAAAGUCACUGCAUCAUUUGUGGUAGUGGGGGACUGUGUCUGGGCUCUCUCCUG
ensembl:snRNA U1 U1 spliceosomal RNA